GCCUCGCUAGCUCAAUCGGUAGAGCGUGAGACUCUUAAGCAACGACCUUAAUCUCAAGGUUGCGGGUUCGACCCCCGCGUGGGGCU